rnacentral:rRNA from 1 species
AUGCUUGAAGUGCUGGAGUACCGUGCAAGCGCUGAAAGAAAGGACGCUGCCAGCUUGGUGCCGUGGAGGAGAAAUAGCUGCCCUUUGCUGAAGGAAGUCACCUGUUACCUUGACUGCACUAACUGCAGCUACAGGAAAGUAGAGGAAGCAGAGGAAGCGCUGAGGCAGGCUUCCGGCACCCGUCCCAAUGCUGUGUAUCUCGAUCUCGAGAUAGUAAAAGAGAACUACGACAAGAAGGCUGGUAAAUUCAUUGAUAAUCUCGAGUGGAUCCUACGUGGUUUGGACAGACCCGAGGAUGUGGGCCGUCCUGCAGCAUACCAGGAAGAAAGGACACGUCUGAUGAUUAGAUCACUCGAGAGAAGAUUACGUGACGAUGCGGAGCCUCGGGUGGGGUGGCACGGCGAACAAGAGAUGCGUGGCCUUGUUACCAAAUUCAAGAUUUGGCUACAUGAUCAUGCAGGCACCAACCAGGAUGAGGUAUGUAUAUCUAUCGACCGGUCGCUGAUGGCCGGUCGGCCGUUUUUUGUAUAA